rnacentral:tRNA from 1 species
UCUAGGGUUAUUCUAUGUAAGAUUGCGGCUUUGGGGGUUGCAGAACUUACCCUUGAU